AAGAGAUAAAGACAGAGAGACAGAGAAGAGAUAAAGACAGAGAGACAGAGUCUCUCUGUCUUUAUCUCUUCUCUCUGUCUCUCUGCUUUAUCUCUUCU
rnacentral:pre_miRNA from 1 species